CUCGUCUGACUCAGUAAUGGAGUCGGCUCCGAGGAGGAGGCAUUGUUUACAUCAGAAGUGGACCCAGUUUACUAGUAAGUAUUUGCAUUUAUCUAUAAGGCCAUGUUGUGUAAAUUGAUAUGCAUGGAACACCUUUGUCAUAAAACUGUAAACACUGUAGUAAGUAUGGCAAUCCAAUAGCAUCGAAUAUUACUGCAGUUUCACUAUAUCUGUUUAUUUUGGGCUUACUUUGCUUGCAGAUACUGCAUUUUAUCUGUCUUUGAAUAUAUUCUUUAUGAGAAAAAAAAAAUGAAGUACAUAUAAAUGCAAACAAAAUAUAGUAGAGGUCAUGGCUACUCAAUUCAGUGAAUAAGUUUACAUAUAUCCACAACUUUUGUGUCCUUCAGUGAAAUGUACAAAUGUUAUUUAUUUUUGUUCUGCAUAGUAAUUGAUCACCAUUUUCACAGCCACCAAGAAGAGGGGAGUGAGGCACAUCCACCCCCACCCCCCAUCAGGGGUUUUCACACCUUCAGUACUCCCUGCACCAGACGCCCCACCCUUACCUGCAAGAAAGGUGACAUUGCUUGUAUCAAGGUUUGUGUACUGAUCAUUUGUUUGAUUCUGGUCUCUAAAAGAAAUAAUACACUCUUUACUGCUUCAAUUAUGCAUUUAUAUGUAUUCAUUACAUUUAAUUUACUCUACCU